AUUCUUAUAAUAUUAAUUCUUGCAACGCACACGGAGGGAGAUUCUGGCAUUUAUCUGAUCUGUAGCCUCCACAGCCUGGGUGGGGGUUGUUGCGUGGCCUACAACACAGUGUGCUGCUUGCCCAUAAAAGAAGCUGCAGUGAAACACCUGCUUUGUGGGAAGCUACAGAUAACACACAACUUCUCUGCUGAGAGACCAAUUAGCUGUAAAACAUUAACUUCAUAUGUGUUCAAAUCUGUCUUUAUAACAACUACUGCUAAGUGUUAACUCAGAAUUGACAAACCACGGCAGUGUUCUGCAGCAGGUCUGGGAUUCACUGAUAAAACUCAGCUUAAACCAAAAGCCAUAGCAAGGUAUUUAUUUCAAAAAUAUCAGUAAAAUUUUUUCCAGUGACACAUAAUAAAUACAGUAUUAUUAAAAAUAAACCACAACCAGAUUCAAAACUUACAGAAAAAGAUGUUUUACGUUACAUAACAGCGAACAUGACAAAGAACUGUAUUCUUAGAUUCUGCUCUGAUCAGAAAAUAAAGACUUCAGAAAGUUGAACAAUAUAUAGACUUUUUUUCAGUGUUAGCACAAUGUGCUUUAUAAAUCACAGUUUUAAUAAACUAUCUUAAUGCUUAUCACCCUUGCAUUAUACAUUAUCUGUGGCACUAGUUAACAGAUAAUCACAUUACAAAGUCCACAGAUACCAUAAUAGCUGACUAGAGUUCAACUCUCUCUUGCUGCUGCAGCUUCCAGAAGAACAAUUUCCUCCAGCACAACGCAGUUGGGGUGGCUGAUUAUGGAGAGGACGUAGCAGUGCAAUAACCCCACCUCCUUUCCCAGCACGCUCUGCACCUCGUAAGUCUGCAGGAAUAAAAGCAUGGGCUACCACCAGCACAGCUCCAGCUGAGCCACCAGCAUUUUCAGCAGUGUGUCUUCUGAAAGUCCUCAGAAUAGCCAGAAUUCUCUGCAAAAUCUUCAUUCCAGCCAAGUAACAAGAUUUUCCUUCCCAUCUCCUGCAGUACUGCUCGACGUCAUCCGUGGAACUCAGGGGCUGCAGCUGCACUUCACUGAACAUGCCAUAGGCAUCCUGGACAAGGAGGCACAACCUGCAAAACAUUCCUCCAUUACUCACUGGCAUCUGCUCAUAACAAACCAGUGAGCAAAGCUCUGAAAACAAUGUUACAGGCUUCAGCACAGGGCUUAUCCUCUGCAGGAUCUGCAGAAUUCCUAUCAAGUAACGUAUCAAUAAACAAACACAACAUCUUUAAAGG